UGUUAUAAAUAACUCAAAGUUAACCCCCUCCAAACAUAUAUAGAUAAGAAAACAUCGCUGCUACCAGAGUUGGUUCCGUGGCUCUUCUCCUCAUAUUUGGCCUUGUUUUGCUGGGGAACAACAUGGAUCACGCAACGGUUGAGGCAUGCCCUCAGUACUGCUUGGAUGCGGAUUACAUGACCUGCAAAUCCUCUGGUGCUGAGAAGCUUAGCCCGAAGUGCAACUAUUGCUUGGCGCCAAAAGACUGCACUCUUCACUUUGCUGAUGGAACUUCAGAUUACUGUGGAAAUUGAUAGUGUUUGAUAUUCCUUAGAAGAUUGUAUCUGCUUCUAAAUAAUGAGUGUUCUUGAAUAGACUGUGUGUAGUUCUGAUGAGACUAGACUCUGUAGUGUUAUGACUCUGGGUUUGAUAAAGUUACAAUAAGUAAAUUCAAAACAUUUCCAUCCAAA